rnacentral:rRNA from 1 species
AGUGAACGCUGGCGGUAGGCCUAACACAUGCAAGUCGAACGGCAGCACAGUAAGAGCUUGCUCUUACGGGUGGCGAGUGGCGGACGGGUGAGGAGUACAUCGGAAUCUACUUUUUCGUGGGGGAUAACGUAGGGAAACUUACGCUAAUACCGCAUACGACCUACGGGUGAAAGCAGGGGAUCUUCGGACCUUGCGCGAUUGAAUGAGCCGAUGUCGGAUUAGCUAGUUGGCGGGGUAAAGGCCCACCGAGGCGACGAUCCGUAGCUGGUCUGAGAGGAUGAUCAGCCACACUGGAACUGAGACACGGUCCAGACUCCUACGGGAGGCAGCAGUGGGGAAUAUUGGACAAUGGGCGCAAGCCUGAUCCAGCCAUACCGCGUGGGUGAAGAAGGCCUUCGGGUUGUAAAGCCCUUUUGUUGGGAAAGAAAAGCAGCAGGUUAAUACCCCGCUGUUCUGACGGUACCCAAAGAAUAAGCACCGGCUAACUUCGUG